GAAUUGGACAAGUCACGGAAGAUAAAGAGCAGCGCUGACCCCUCGAGAACCCGCCCCACCCCGCGCCGCAGCAGGCCGGGUGGGGCCGAGCCUCCCACGUGAGAUCUUACACGUAGGCCCGGGCUGGGAGCACCCGCCCCACGGAGCGGACCGGGCCUGGGGUGGAGGGCGGGGGCCGGGGCUGCUGUGCUGCGCCCGAGCACGUACCGGGGCGUGGCCUGCAGCGCGGCGGGCGGGGUUUGGGGAAGUUUCUCCGGGCGGCUUGCGUCUCGCAUCCUCAUCAUGUAGUACCAGCGGCACCACGGACAUUAGGGGUGGUCGGUCCCCUCCGCAUCCUUGUUAUUUUCCCCGCUGAGGGGGCUGUCUGAUCACUGCUGCUCUCAGGCACCUGUCUUUCCUCUCCGUCCCGGGAUGGAUCCGAGACAAGGGAAUAAAGGAAAUUAAAUAGUACGAGGAGAUCGGGUGUCUGGGCAGCGUCUUGGAUAAAACCGUCCACUACAGGCUCAUUACGCCCCUGUAAAACGACUCACCAGCAUCCAGAAGUUUCCUCACACGCAAAUAGCUGAUGGUGAGCCUCAUAACAGAAGCCUUAUCGAGAUGCGAGCUCACAUUAUGGGGAAGUGGCAACUGAUGAGCAAGUUCAUAGAAAACUUCAGACUCUUUACUUCGCCGAGAUCUCGCUGCAUCUCUAGACUUUUCUUUUCGACGUUCAGAACUUAUCCUAUUGAGCAAAAAAAGGAGGACAGAAAAAGAAAAUUUAUAUAAGUUAGCUUGCCUUUGCUUCGAUAAAACUAAUUUUACAUUUUUCUGCUUUCCAUAAAACAAUGUGAAGAUGCCAUGUAAUUAUAUAGAGAUUGGUCUAUUACAUGAAUGUGUAAAGUAAGAAUGUAGGAGACAGAUACACAAAUUUCUGGAUUACUGAAGACAUAGGGAACUCUAACAAAGAAGUCCAAGAUGGAGCUUUAAACCUGUCUGAAACAGGUAUUUCCUUCCUGGCAUAUCAAAUUAGAGAGGAUAUUUUGUUUCAGCCAAAGUCUUAAAAGUAGCCUGUGUAUGUGCACCCUCAUAGCCAUUCAGAAGUAGUUUCAACAUAAAGAAAGCACCAUUAAGUCUAAAGAAACUAAAGCUGUACAUAUUAACUUGAAAACAGGAGUUGUUAAGCAGGCAGAACAGUUACAGCUACAAACUGAUUUUUGACUUGUUUCUUUGGACUCUGAUAUUUUCCCAACUUCUUCUACCCUACCACAUGAGCAAUAGUGACUAUAAGCUAAAGAAAUCUAUAUUAGCAGCUGUAAGAAGUUACCAUUUUCAGGUUGCUUAUUCCCUUAGCAGCCUCUUUAGCAGCCCCUUUUCUUUACUGGCACAAGUACCAAAUAAAGGCAGGAGUAUAGAAGAAAAAAAAAAAGAUGUGACACAAUACUAAGAACUGAAAGAAACAGGUUAAUAAACAUUAACAAAGGUGUCAAAACAAGGAUGUAUCUUUAGGGAACUUUUCCAAGAAUAAAGUCAGAAAGAUUUUCCUAAGCAGAGACAUUCACCUUCCUUUGCUUGACUGUGUAGAAACAUCUAUUCCUCCUGACCCAGCUGGAGGAGGUAAACAAGGCUAACCCUGGUUCUGUCCUUAGCUUCUUUAAGAGCUGUUGUUUAUUAAAACCUACUAUGUGCCAAAUGCUACCCCGUA